UACGAAGGGUGCAAACGUUGCUCGGAAUUAUUGGGCGUAAAGCGCACGUAGGCGGCUUGGCAAGUCGGAUGUGAAAUCCCUCGGCUCAACCAAGGAAGUGCAUCCGAAACUGCUGAGCUUGAGUACUUAAGAGGAUCGCGGAAUUCCCGGUGUAGAGGUGAAAUUCGUAGAUAUCAGGAGGAACACCGAUGGCGAAGGCAGGUCUCUGGGCAUUAACUGACGCUGAGGAGCGAAAGCAUGGGGAGCGAACAGG
rnacentral:rRNA from 1 species